rnacentral:rRNA from 1 species
UACGUAGGGCGCAAGCGUUGUCCGGAAUUAUUGGGCGUAAAGAGCUCGUAGGCGGCCUGUUGCGUCCGCUGUGAAAUCCCGGGCUCAACCCGGGCCUGCAGUGGAUACGGCUGGCUGGAGGCAGGCAGGGGAGAACGGAAUCCUGGUGUAGCGGUGAAAUGCGCAGAUAUCAGGAGGAACACCGGUGGCGAAGGCGGUUCUCUGGGCCUGUUCUGACGCUGAGGAGCGAAAGCGUGGGGAGCGAACAGG